GAGGGCGGGCCCGGGAGGGGCGGUGGCCUCGGGGCGUGCGCGCGCCCGCAGCCUCCCGGGGGCGCGCGCGCACGCCGCGGCCGCUCCCCCGACUCGCGCCCCGGGCCGGAGACUCACGUUCUCUCGCGAGCCCGCGACCGCCGCCGGGCGCGCGCGGGGAGGUGUCGGCUGGGCGGAGUCUUGUGGUCACGUGACCUCCAUCGGGGCCGGGCGCCUCCGCCCGGGGCAGGCACCUGGGGAGCCGGACUUUCGGUUGCCCUUGAAUUGGCUGCACCCACUUAGGUGCAGAAGGGCUACUUCCGAUGGCCCGGGCGGCCGGAGACCAGGUCGCGGGCGCUGCCCUUUGGGCUCCCCAGCCGUUCCCGCCGUUCUUACUCCUGGUUACUCCCCGCCGCCGGCUGUCACGUAAUUUCGAAGUCUUUGGUUCGAAGUUAUACAAACAGCGAGCGCGAGCUUGGAAAGUUUUUGGUGCAUUUUCUUAAAGUGGGUUCCUUGACAUCCCAGAACUGUGACCAGACGUCAUCCAUCCUCCUCCAGCCCCACCCGCAGCUCCCUUUGUCAUUCUCAGACCUUGCCGUUCCUCUGAGAUGUGCCAGGAGCGAUUGUUGAUGUUUCGUUGAUGUGGCUUUCCACCCGAGCUGCCGCGCUGAAAUCUGGACAGUAGCUGCCGGAGGGUGAGGUCAUGGUGAAAAUCCCCCUUCACCGGACACUGUGAUGCAGGCUCUUCCCUAGAAGGAAGCAGAUAAGCAAACAGACCGAGGACAAGAGCCGGCAAAUUUUAGGUUUCCUGCCAGAUUGCAGAGGAUAUGACCAGCCAAGGGACUUUUUUUCUAUCUUAGUAGCGGAUUCAGGCCAGGACACCUGAAGGGCUGCCAGGAGACAAGCGACAAGUGACAGCUGGCUUGGCAGAGAGACUGCAUCGCAAGGACCCCGGAAGCCGACUUCUUCUCUCUUAGUAUUCUAGUUUAAAGUGGAAAAAGGCAUUUGGGUCGGUCUCUGUUUAUGGCAGUGCAGCCCUAAUGCUCCUUGAUUGGGGCUUCUGGGGCUCAGAAACUUCUGUGUCAGGCACUGAGGUGAGAAGGAGGUCAGCAGUCUGAGAGGCUCAUGAACACGUUUAAAUUUAAAAAUCAGUGCUAAUCAGUUUACUGGCCGGGUUGGGUUAAUGGCUGAGGAGCCUCAUGACUCGGUAAAUUGGCUGCAGUAAACAAUACCUACAGUAGGAUUACCUCCUGUUGUCCUGGCCGAGCCCACAGGGGUGGAUAAGCUACAAUAUACAAAGUAGGGUCAGUUCAACUCCAGUAUCUGUGGAUUGAUAGGGUCAGAAGCACUAGGCCAUGCCUUCAGGCAGAAUCGAUGGUAAAAGUCCACCCGGGAUGCAAGAUAUCUCUGUAGCCUCAGCUAGUGUUUGGGAAGUUCUGUUCUCCAACCAUGAGAGGACAGACCUCUGCCCAGGACAGGGAUAUAGCAUUGGCCCCCAAACACCCAUUUCUAUGUGGACUUCAGAUGCUAAUUUGAAUUCUACAAAAGCAGGAAGAGAGAAGCCUAUCAGUUAGUUAGUUAACAUCUUUUUUUCUUUUUCCAGUAGUGUGUGCAACAUAAUUGGAGAACCAAGGAUCUCUAGGAGGCAGGAAGGUAUUCCCGCCCUGCCAGUUCAUGUUGUGACAUGUAGACCAGCAGAGAAAGUUGUUCCAAGCCCUGCCUGUAACCUUCUGUUGGAAGGAGCUUGGCUCAGAUCAAGCCCAGCUGCUCUAAUCAGUGUUUCUGAAAAAAAGAGACCUCUUUGGGCCCAGCCUGGAGUCUGGCUGCAGUUGUCCAACUGCUUCUAACUGUCUGGUCAUCAAGCCACCUUGAAAACAUGAGCAUUAAAAUGAGCUAGAGGUUUGGUGACUCCUCGGAAAGUUAAACAUAACAAUUGCCCUAUGACCCAGCAAUUCCACUCCCAGGUAUAUACCCAAAAGAAAUGAAAACAGGCGUUCAAAGAAAAAAAUGUACACCUGUGUUCAUGGCAGCACUAUUCAGAAGAACCCAAAGGGGUGAACAACUCAUAAAUCCAUCAAUGGAUGGAUGGAUAAACAAAAUGUAGUGUACCCAUGGAACGCAAUUAUUCAGCCAUAAAAGCAAAUGAAGUACUAACACAUGCUACAAUGUGGAUGAACCCUGAAAACAUUAAUGCUACAUGAAAAAGCCGGUCACAAAAGGCCACACAGCCUCCGAGAAAGAUCCGUGAGCUGGUGUUGACAAGCUGUGACCUCACUCAGCUUCUCCAAAGUCAAAAGCCUGUGUCUGAAAGACACACACCAGCUCUCGUAGAAACCCUUACACCUUGCUUACUGCAUCGGACGCAUUUAUGGGCAGUCUAUUUAUAUAACACUCAACACAAGGCUUUGGUUGGAAAUCUGAAGCUCUUUCUGGGAAACUCAAAACAUCCUAGCUCAAUCUCUCACCUUUCUUUUCCCUUACAGCUUUUCAAGGGUCUGUUGAUAACAACAGUGAGAAAAAUACAUGCAGAUUGGAUGUUGUCCCCCAAAUCUGAACUCUGAAGUAGGGCGGGGUUUAUUCAUUUUCAACAGCACCAGGAGUGUCAGGCAAGGAUCCAGCUGCCAUAUUGUGAGGAUUCUCAAGCAGCCCCACGCGGGGGUCCACGUGGGAAAGAACUGAGGCCACUGCCAACGGCCAGCACCAACUUGCCAGCCUCGUGAGUGAGCCGUCCGGGAAGCAGAUCCUAGUCAAGCCCCAGGUAAGGGCUUGUCUGCAGCCUCUUGAGAGAUCCUGAGUUAGGACCAGGCAGCUGUAAGUGGCUGCCGAACUCCUGACCCACAGAGACUAAUAAUAAGUGAGAUAAUAAAUGUUUCUUGUUGCAUUAA